rnacentral:rRNA from 1 species
UCCAAUAGCAGAUGAUUGAUGCAAAGCGUCGUCUGUGAAAUGUUCCGCCGCCAUAGGAUGGAGUCGCGGCUGAUUAGGUCGUUGGUGAGGUAACGGCUCACCAAGCCAGUAAUCAGUAACAACGAUGAGACCGGGAGCUGUCAGUUGGCUUCUGAGACAAGAAGCCAGACCCUACGGGGUGCAGCAGGCACGAAACCUUCACAAUGCACGAGAGUGCGAUGGGGGGACUCCGAGUGUAAUCUUCCCACAAGGAAGGUUACUUUUCUGCACUGUAAGGAGGUGCCGGAACAAGGGGUGGGCAACACUGCUGCCAGCCGCCGCGGUAAUAGCAGGACCCCAAGUGGUAGUCGUUAUUAUUGGGCUUAAAGUGUUCGUAGCCUGCCAUGCAAGUCCGCUGUGAAAUCCACGCGCUCAACGUGUGGGCGUGCAGCGGAUACUGUAUGGCUAGGGACCGGACGGCGUUGAGGCUAUUCCCGGAGUAGGAGUGAAAUCCUAAAAUUCUGGGAGGAGCACCUGUGGCGAAAGCGCUCAACGAGUACGGAUCCGACGGUGAGGAACGAAAGCCAGGGGAGCAAAGCGGAUUAGAUACCCGCGUAGUCCUAGCCGUUAACAUUGUGCAUUUGAUGUCGGCUAACCUUCGAGGUUAGCCGGUGCCGAAGUGAAAACGUUAAAUGCACCGCCUGGGUAGUACGGUCGCAAGGCUGAAACUUAAAGGAAUUGACGGGGGAGCACCACAACCGGUGGAGGCUGCGGUUUAAUUAGAUCCAACGCAGACCACCCUACCAGAGCCGACAGCAGAAUGACGGUCAGCUUGAAGAGCUUACCUGACGCGCUGAGAGGAGCUGCAUGGCCGCCGUCAGCUCGUGCCGUGAGGUGUCCGGUUAAGUCCGGUAACGAGCGAGACCCGCACUCUAUGUUGCCAGAGAGCCACUUCGGUGGUUUUGGCACUCGUAGAGGACCGCUGGUGAUAAACCAGGGGAAGGAGCGGGCCACGGUAGGUCAGUAUGGCCCGAAUGCUCUGGGAUACACGCGGCC